GGACUUAAUUCUGGCCAGUAGUUUUUUUUUUUUUGAGCGCCUGCUGUGUGUCGGACACUGAGUGUGCUAAGCAUUGGAGAAACAGGCGAAUGAAGUCGGGACAAGCCCUUCCAUGUGUAUCGACCUCUAAUCCCGGCGGGCGGGUCGUCUAUUCCUAACGUGUGUAUUUCUGGAGACCCCAAGACGUGAAGGGCUGCAGGGACUAUGCUCUCCCAGAGUCUCUUUGGAGUGCGGAUCCCUUGGCUUAGGCCACGUUCCCACUUCUUCUAAACCCUUUCCCCAACCAUGUAAGGAGAGGCAGCUGCUGGGGGCGUCCCCAGGAUCUAAAGAUAGCGGCCCCUGCCUCGGAUUCCAAACGCCUUGGGGCAGCGGGAGCCGCCAUGGCACGGCAGCAUGCUCGGACCCUGUGGUAUGACAGGCCCAAGUAUGUGUUCAUGGAGUUUUGUGUUGAGGACAGCACCGAUGUCCACGUGCUCAUCGAAGACCACUGCAUUGUGUUCAGCUGCAAGAAUGCCGAUGGAGUGGAGUUUUAUAAUGAGAUUGAGUUCUAUGCCAAGGUGAACUGCAAGGACUCGCAAGAUAAGCGCUCUGGCCGCUCCAUUACUUGCUUUGUGAGGAAAUGGAAGGAGAAGGUGGCCUGGCCCCGACUCACUAAGGAGGAUAUCAAGCCAGUGUGGUUGUCUGUGGAUUUUGAUAACUGGAGAGACUGGGAAGGGGAUGAAGAAGUGGAGCUGGCUCAGGUGGACCAUUACGCAGAGCUUUUGGAGAAGGUCAGGACCAAGAGGCCUCCCCCUGCAAUGGACGACCUGGAUAGACGCGCCCGGAAUGAAGAUUGUCCCGCUUCGCUCUCCGUCCGGCGCCAGGCGUUUCUGUGUGCAAGGUUACCGGCGUACUGGGAGACAGCAGCGAUGGCGUUCCAGUGUCAGCGGGACAGCUACGCCAGGGAGUUCACCACCACCGUGGUCUCCUGCAGUCCCGCGGAGCUGCAGACCGAAGGAAGCAACGGCAAGAAGGAAGUGCUGAGCGGUUUCCACGUGGUGCUGGAAGACACGCUGCUUUUCCCCGAGGGCGGGGGACAGCCUGAUGACCGUGGUACAAUCAAUGACAUCUCUGUGCUGAGAGUGACCCGCCGGGGCGCCCAGGCUGAUCAUUUCACCCAGACACCUCUGACCCCUGGGACUGAGGUACAGGUCCGGGUGGACUGGGAACGGAGGUUUGACCACAUGCAGCAGCACUCAGGGCAGCAUCUCAUCACUGCGGUUGCUGAUCAUCUGUUUGGGCUGAAGACAACAUCAUGGGAGUUAGGGCGACUCCGGAGUGUCAUCGAGCUGGACAGCCCUUCUGUGACUGCGGAGCAAGUAGCUGCCAUUGAGCAGAGUGUCAAUGCAAAAAUCAGAGAUCGGCUGCCUGUGUAUGUGCGAGAACUGAGCCUGGAUGAUCCCGGUGUGGAGCAGGUGAGGGGCCGGGGUUUGCCGGAUGAUCAUGCUGGGCCUAUUCGAGUUGUCACCAUCAAGAGCGUUGAUUCCAACAUGUGCUGUGGGACCCACGUGAGCAAUCUCAGUGACCUUCAGGUCAUUAAAAUCCUGGGCUCUGAGAAGGGGAAAAAGAACAAAACCAACGUGACCUUUCUGGCUGGGAACCGGGUGCUGAAGUGGAUGGAGAAGAGUCACAGCACUGAGAAAGCACUGACAGCUCUGCUGAAGUGUGGAGCAGAGGAUCACGUGGAAGCAGUGAAAAAGCUACAGAACUCCAGCAAGCUCCUGCAGAAGAACAACCUGAAUCUGCUCAGAGACCUGGCUGUGCACAUUGCCCACAGCCUCAGGAACAGCCCAGACUGGGGAGGUGUGGUCACAUUACACAGGCUCCGGACGUGCAGGCUCAGUGGCCAUGGCUCACGGGCCCAGCCGCUCCGCGGUAUGUGGGAUCUUCCCGGACCGGGGCGCGAACCCGUGUCCCCUGCAUCGGCAGGCGGACUCUCAACCACUGCGCCACCAGGGAAGCCCCGCCCCUGGUGUUCUUAAGGCUGAGAAGACCCGAAGAAGUGUGUUGCCUUGCAGAUUUCCUGGGUUUGAUAUAAAUAUCUUCACUAUAACUUUCAUUAGAGCCUUCCCUCAUCUCCUUUGCCAUCUAACAGGUCUCCACUUACCCGGGUGAAUCCUGUUUAAGGGAGACAGAAACAAACGCAAAACUUGUUAUAGCGUGCCGAGGCUUAGAAAGAUGCCAGGCUGGCCCUCAGAGAGCACGCUCUUUCUCUGGGACUUUGCACAAACGGCAGCAGUGUGGCCAGCCUCACAAGGAGGAGCUGGGCUUCCUGCAGGUUCCUAGCUCCCGUUGCAACUUGGAUCUGAUGUCUUUGCCCUUUGUUUUAGGAAGGAGGGUGAUUCUGAGUUCAUGAAUAUCAUCGCCAACGAGAUUGGGUCAGAGGAGACCCUCCUGUUCUUAACUGUGGGCGAAGAGAAAGGUGCUGGACUCUUCUUACUGGCAGGGCCAGC